rnacentral:lncRNA from 10 species
CAUGAAUGAGAUUAGAGACACAGGAGACAUAAUCUUUCUUUCUCUUUCCAUCUUGUACGGAUAUGACAAGAAAAUGGCUAUGUGACCCAGGAGGAUAGCCUUCACGAAGAACCUCACCAUGCUGGUACCUUGAUCUUGGAUUUCCAGCCUCCAGACAAACUGUGUACACAGUCUGUUUUUAUCAUCAGUGCUGAUAUUCAACAGUCUUAUUUCCCAAACUGUAAAAUUAUAGGUGCAUCAUGCACGAUAGAACUGCUGUACCCCAAAGCAAGCCAUAAAAUCUAGGAAGACUAUCUGACCCUCUCUUCUCCUCCCUGAAGACCCUUACAUGACAAGUGUCAUGCCCUAUGCCCAGAGGAAGAAAUGCUACACAGAGAGGCCAAGAAAAAUCUGAACACACAGGACUUGUUGGAAUUCCCCUCAAGUUAUUAUCAUUACAUCAUGCCUUUUUUGUCCAGUCAUAUUUCUACACAGCUGUCCAUUCUUCAUCGAACCUAAGCUUAAGAAUAUGCACUUCUCCCUGGGUCUCUGGGUCUUCAGGUUUCUAAACAUGCAUCUUCACCACCCUG